rnacentral:rRNA from 1 species
GAGUGAUCGAAAGAUGAAAAGCACUUUGAAAAGAGAGUUAAACAGCACGUGAAAUUGUUGAAAGGGAAGCGUUGGCCACCAGACGCGCCCGGGGGGGCUCAGCCGGCACGUGUGCCGGUGUACUCCCCCCCGGACGGGUCAGCAUCGGUUUGGGCGGUCGCUGAAAGGCUCUGGGAAUGUAGCACCCUCCGGGGUGCCUUAUAGCCCAGGGUGUCAUGCGGCCCGCCUGGACCGAGGUUCGCGCUUCGGCGAGGAUGCUGGCGUAAUGGUGGUCAACGGCCC